GCUGGCGGCACGCCUAAUACAUGCAAGUCGAACGAAGUAGCAAUACUUAGUGGCAGACGGGUGAGUAACAUGUGGGUAUCUUCCCUUUGGUGAGGAAUAACACGAGGAAACUUGUGCUAAUACCUCAUAAGUCUUUACGGAGAAAGCUUUAUGCGCCAUUGGAUGAGCCCGCACUUGAUUAGUUUGUUGGUGGGGUAAAGGCCUACCAAGACUAUGAUCAAUAGCUGAUUUGAGAGGAUGAUCAGCCACAUUGGGACUGAGACACGGCCCAAACUCCUACGGGAGGCAGCAGUAGGGAAUCUUGCACAAUGGAGGAAACUCUGAUGCAGCGAUGCCGCGUGAGUGAAGAAGGCCUUUGGGUUGUAAAGCUCUUUCGUCGGGGAAGAAAAUGACUGUACCCGAAUAAGAAGGUCCGGCUAACUUCGUGCCAGCAGCCGCGGUAAUACGAAGGGACCUAGCGUAGUUCGGAAUUACUGGGCUUAAAGAGUUCGUAGGUGGUUAAAAAAGUUGGUGGUGAAAUCCCAGAGCUUAACUCUGGAACUGCCAUCAAAACUUUUUAGCUAGAGUAUGAUAGAGGAAAGCAGAAUUUCUAGUGUAGAGGUGAAAUUCGUAGAUAUUAGAAAGAAUACCAAUUGCGAAGGCAGCUUUCUGGAUCAUUACUGACACUGAGGAACGAAAGCAUGGGUAGCGAAGAGGAUUAGAUACCCUCGUAGUCCAUGCCGUAAACGAUGUGUGUUAGACGUUGGAAAUUUAUUUUCAGUGUCGCAGCGAAAGCAAUAAACACACCGCCU
rnacentral:rRNA from 1 species